rnacentral:lncRNA from 1 species
AUACUUUUGGUCAAGUAGUGUAUUUAUGAGGAUGUCUUGAACUAUUAUGAUGCGUUGACCCUAAUGGUGAGUUAUGAGGUCACUACUCACCAACAUGAGUACACAGUGGGGUGGGGAGUUUCAUAUGUACCUGUCCCCUGUUCACCUCUCCUUAUGCAUUGUGGUACAGUCGCUCUCUCUCACCCUCUCCAUUUCUCCUUCUCUCUCAUCCUCUGUUAGUCUGUCAUUCAUCUCUCAUCCUCUGUUAGUCUGUCAUUCAUCUCUCUCAUCCUCUGUUAGUCUGUCAUUCAUCUCUCUCAUCCUCUGUUAGUCUGUCAUUCAUCUCUCUCAUCCUCUGUUAGUCUGUCAUUCAUCUCUCUCAUCCUCUCUGUUAGUCUGUCAUUCAUCUCUCUCAUCCUCUGUUAGUCUGUCAUUCAUCUCUCUCAUCCUCUGUUAGUCUGUCAUUCAUCUCUCUCAUCCUCUGUUAGUCUGUCAUUCAUCUCUCUCAUCCUCUGUUAGUCUGUCAUUCAUCUCUCUCAUCCUCUGUUAGUCUCUCAUUCAUCUCUCUCAUCCUCUGUUAGUCUGUCAUUCAUCUCUCUCAUCCUCUCUGUUAGUCUGACAUUCAUCUCUCUCAUCCUCUCUGUUAGUCUCUCAUUCAUCUCUCUCAUCCUCUGUUAGUCUGUCAUUCAUCUCUCUCAUCCUCUCUGUUAGUCUGACAUUCAUCUCUCUCAUCCUCUCUGUUAGUCUCUCAUUCAUCUCUCUCAUCCUCUGUUAGUCUGUCAUUCAUCUCUCUCAUCCUCUCUGUUAGUCUGUCAUUCAUCUCUCUCAUCCUCUCUGUUAGUCUCUCAUUCAUCUCUCUCAUCCUCUGUUAGUCUGUCAUUCAUCUCUCUCAUGCUCUGUUAGUCUCUCAUUCAUCUCUCUCAUCCUCUCUGUUAGUCUGUCAUUUAUCUCUCUCAUCCUUUGUUAGUCUGUCAUUCAUCUCUUUCAUCCUCUGUUAGUCUCUCAUUCAUCUCUCUCAUCCUCUCUGUUAGUCUGUCAUUCAUCUCUCUCAUCCUCUCUGUUAGUCUCUCAUUAAUCUCUCUCAUCCUCUGUUAGUCUGUCAUUCAUCUCUCUCAUCCUUUGUUAGUCUGUCAUUCAUCUCUCUCAUCCUCUGUUAGUCUGUCAUUCAUCUCUCUCAUCCUCUGUUAGUCUGUCAUUCAUCUCUCUCAUCCUCUGUUAGUCUGUCAUUCAUCUCUCUCAUCCUCUGUUAGUCUGUCAUUCAUCUCUCUCAUCCUCUGUUAGUCUGUCAUUCAUCUCUCUCCAUGAUGUGGAUCUCUUUCCUCACGCCUUUUAUUUCUCCUCCCUCUGUGUUGCUCUCUCUCUCUUUCUCUCUUUCUCCACCUCUCCCUCUAUCUCGGCUAUUCUGACCAGUAGGUUGUUAGUAGUCUCCCUCUGUCUCCCCAUCUCCUUCUCUAUUCUGACCAGUAGGUUGUUAGUAGUCUCCCUCUGUCUCUCCAUCUCCUUCUCUAUUCUGACCAGUAGGUUGUUAGUAGUCUCCCUCUGUCUCUCCAUCUCCUUCUCUAUUCUGACCAGUAGGUUGUUAGUAGUCUCCCUCUGUCUCCCCAUCUCCUUCUCUAUCCUGACCAGUAGGUUGUUAGUAGUCUCCCUCUGUCUCUCGUCCUCACUCUCACCCUCCUUAUCUGUUGUUGGUUGUCUCCCUCUCCCUCACCCCCCUCUCCUCCCUCUCUUUCUCUGUCUCUAUCUCUGUGUCACCUGUGAGUAACGACGGGCCGUGGACUCUAUUCAUCACCCGUUCCUGCACAUGCUCAAUAGCUCUUCAUUAUAUUAAUUACUCUCAUUGGAAGAGUGAUCAUCAGUCCUGUCAGGAUCCAUCACGCCCCGGUUCCCACGACAUUGAGGACCCAGCUGUGGUCCGCGUGGUAAACAAUCACCGGUGGGUGGCUGCCGGUAAGGGGGCUGAUGACUGGCGGCCCCGCCGGACCUUGCGGGGGGGUGGGCUCUAAAU